UCCUUGGGUUCCCUUUAGAAGCUCCAUCAGUAUUUGUUUUGAGACAUCCCUCCAUUGUUUGUUCCCAUAUAACCUUCUGAUAUUUGAGCCUUGGUGUUUAAUUGUCCAUCAUAGUCAACUCUGCCACUUGUGGGGAACAUUUAAACCCUGUUUCCUGAGUUGUACAAGGCAUUGCAAUGCAGUAGAUACUUGGUAUAUUACUCUGAUAACUGAGACCUGAUCC
rnacentral:lncRNA from 1 species